rnacentral:rRNA from 1 species
UCGAGGAUCUUCCGCAAUGGGCGAAAGCCUGACGGAGCGACACCGCGUACAGGAUGAAGGCCUUCGGGUUGUAAACUGUUGUCACGCUAUAGGAAACCCUUGGUGCUAAUACCGCCAAGAUUGACUAAAGCGAGAGGAAGCAACGGCUAACUCUGUGCCAGCAGCCGCGGUAAGACAGAGGUUGCAAACGUUGUUCGGAAUCACUGGGCAUAAAGCGCACGUAGGCGGUCUGUUAAGUCAGGUGUGAAAGCCCCCGGCUCAACCGGGGAAUUGCAUUUGAUACUGGCAGGCUCGAGAACGGUAGGGGUGAGUGGAACUCCAGGUGGAGCGGUGAAAUGCGUAGAUAUCUGGAGGAACACCGGUGGCGAAAGCGGCUCACUGGACCGUCACUGACGCUGAGGUGCGAAAGCUAGGGUAGCAAACGG